rnacentral:rRNA from 1 species
GAUGAACGCUGGCGGCGUGCCUAAUACAUGCAAGUCGAGCGAACGGACGAGAAGCUUGCUUCUCUGAUGUUAGCGGCGGACGGGUGAGUAACACGUGGAUAACCUACCUAUAAGACUGGGAUAACUUCGGGAAACCGGAGCUAAUACCGGAUAAUAUUUUGAACCGCAUGGUUCAAAAGUGAAAGACGGUCUUGCUGUCACUUAUAGAUGGAUCCGCGCUGCAUUAGCUAGUUGGUAAGGUAACGGCUUACCAAGGCAACGAUGCAUAGCCGACCUGAGAGGGUGAUCGGCCACACUGGAGCUGAGACACGGUCCAGACUCCUACGGGAGGCAGCAGUAGGGAAUCUUCCGCAAUGGGCGAAAGCCUGACGGAGCAACGCCGCGUGAGUGAUGAAGGUCUUCGGAGCGUAAAACUCUGUUAUUAGGGAAGAACAUAUGUGUAAGUAACUGUGCACAUCUUGACGGUACCUAAUCAGAAAGCCACGGCUAACUACGUG